rnacentral:rRNA from 1 species
AGCCGAAAGGCUACUUAAAACCAUCGCGAACUUAUCCAAGUUGCUUCGGCGGCGCGGCUCCCCUCACGGGGGGCCGCAGCCCCGCCUCUCAGGAGGUAUGGGGCGCCCGCCGGAGGUACGAAACUCUGUAUUAUAGUGGCAUCUCUGAGUAAAAACAAAUAAGUUAAAACUUUCAACAACGGAUCUCUUGGUUCUGGCAUCGAUGAAGAACGCAGCGAAAUGCGAUAAGUAAUGUGAAUUGCAGAAUUCAGUGAAUCAUCGAAUCUUUGAACGCACAUUGCGCCCGCUAGUACUCUAGCGGGCAUGCCUGUUCGAGCGUCAUUUCAACCCUCAAGCUCUGCUUGGUGUUGGGGCCCUACGGCUGCCGUAGGCCCUGAAAGGAAGUGGCGGGCUCGCUACAACUCCGAGCGUAGUAAUUCAUUAUCUCGCUAGGGAGGUGCGGCGUGCUCCUGCCGUUAAAGACCCCAUCUUUAACCAAGGUUGACCUCGGAUCAGGUAGGAAUACCCGCUGAACUUAAGCAUAUCAAUAAGCGGAGG